AGGUGGAGCAAAUCCCUAAAAGCCAUCCCAGUUCGGAUUGCAGGCUGAAACCCGUCUGCAUGAAGUUGGAAUCGCUAGUAAUCGCGGAUCAGCAUGCCGCGGUGAAUACGUUCCCGGGCCUUGUACACACCGCCCGUCACACCAUGAGAGUCGGGAACACCCGAAGUCCGUAGUCUAACCGCAAGGGGGACGCGGCCGAAGGUGGGUUCGAUAAUUGGGGUGAAGUCGUAACAAGGUAGC
rnacentral:rRNA from 1 species